UACAGAUGUUUGUUCCGAUAACGCUGUAAGCCUAUUGGGAAAAAUAACCACAAGCCUGGCUAUAGACAGACAGUACCUCUUCUGCUGGCAGCCAGUCAACCAGGCAUCCGUCUGAUAGAACAAUGCCAAACGGCGAUAGCGGACGUGAAACCUAAACGAGAAGUAACCCAUAGGACCAAUAUACGAAAUUCUGAGCCCUAAAUAACCCCUCGUAGGCAUUGGCCAAACGGAGACCCAUUUGCCUACAGUGUUGCAACAACGCUCUACGCCAGUCUAUCCUUUCUUGAUAGUGUUGAAACAUGGUAUAAAAUGGAUAAUACGUGUAGAGAUACUUUGCCCUACAACAGCAACGAUAUAAGGGCACAUAGUAGUGGCAGAAGAAGACUGAAGACAUUCGAUUUUAUGGCGCGCGGACAAUUAAUCUGCGCAAAUCAAGUUAUCAUGCAGCUGGACCGUAUUUCAGAUCAAGUCAUUAUUUUCCCUUAGUGGCAGGCGUUUGAGAAAAUGAAAAAAAAAAACGUGAAAACGGCAGAUAGGUAUUGAUGUUUAUAAGAACAUUUAUUUAUGGUGUUUAUUUCUGCAUUGCAGUUUUUGUUUUUAUUAUCUGUACGCAUAACGAGCGAGCGAAUACUUUUAGACAAGACGGUACUACUUAGCCACACAUGGCACUGCAGGCUUCCGACGCUUCUGAAUGUUUCCCAGCCCGUGACAACACAUUCAAAGCAGACUUUUGAGGUUUGGAUUUGCCUGUUCUACAAAAAUAAUUUUCCAAGUGCAUGUUUCUUUUUUUUUGCUAUUAACUUAUACCAUAUCAAUAUUUGUGUUAACGCCAACGAGAUGUACG